rnacentral:misc_RNA from 1 species
UCGUAACAAGGUUUCCGUAGGUGAACCUGCGGAAGGAUCAUUACCGAGUGAGGGCCCUCUGGGUCCAACCUCCCACCCGUGUUUAUUUUACCUUGUUGCUUCGGCGGGCCCGCCUUAACUGGCCGCCGGGGGGCUUACGCCCCCGGGCCCGCGCCCGCCGAAGACACCCUCGAACUCUGUCUGAAGAUUGAAGUCUGAGUGAAAAUAUAAAUUAUUUAAAACUUUCAACAACGGAUCUCUUGGUUCCGGCAUCGAUGAAGAACGCAGCGAAAUGCGAUACGUAAUGUGAAUUGCAAAUUCAGUGAAUCAUCGAGUCUUUGAACGCACAUUGCGCCCCCUGGUAUUCCGGGGGGCAUGCCUGUCCGAGCGUCAUUGCUGCCCUCAAGCCCGGCUUGUGUGUUGGGCCCCGUCCCCCGAUCUCCGGGGGACGGGCCCGAAAGGCAGCGGCGGCACCGCGUCCGGUCCUCGAGCGUAUGGGGCUUUGUCACCCGCUCUGUAGGCCCGGCCGGCGCUUGCCGAUCAACCCAAAUUUUUAUCCAGGUUGACCUCGGAUCAGGUAGGGAUACCCGCUGAACUUAAGCAUAUCAAUAA